rnacentral:rRNA from 1 species
GGAAAGGGCACCACCAGGAAAUGGAGCCUGCGGCUUAAUUUGACUCAACACGGGAAAACUUACCCGGCCCGGACACAGGAAGGAUUGACAGAUUAAGAGCUCUUUCUUGAUUCUGUGGGUGGUGGUGCAUGGCCGUUCUUAGUUGGUGGAGCGAUUUGUCUGGUUAAUUCCGAUAACGAACGAGACUCUAGCCUACUAAAUAGACGUUCCGAUCCUUCGAGUCGGACGUUCUUCUUAGAGGGACAAGCGGCGUUUAGCCGCACGAGACAGAGCAAUAACAGGUCUGUGAUGCCCUUAGAUGUCCGGGGCCGCACGCGCGCUACAUUGAAGGAAUCAGCGUGUGCUUUCCCUGUCCGACAGGACUGGGUAACCCGUUGAACCUCCUUCGUGCUGGGGAUAGGAGCUUGUAAUUGUUCUCCUUGAACGAGGAAUUCCCAGUAAGCACGAGUCAUAAGCUCGUGUUGAUUACGUCCCUGCCCUUUGUACACACCGCCCGUCGCUACACCGAUUGAAUGAUUUAGUGAGGUCUUCGGACUGCGCUCGGAUUGCUUCGGGUCGAGCCGACGUGCCGAAAGUGACCAAACUUGAUCAUUUAGAG